rnacentral:lncRNA from 1 species
AAUAAAUAAAUAAAUCUUUUAAAAAAGACUUUCAUCAUGUCACAUUAAAGACAUUAAUAGUGUAAAGAGCUUGGCAGGAAUGUGGGAGGGAAACAGCACGGGGUUUAAGGACUCUUCUGUUACUCAGCACCAAGUCCAUUGACAUCUGGAGCCUCAACUUCCUAAUUUUUAUAAGGUAGGAGACAUGGCAACACAAUGAUACUAUGAUGGAUAAAAUAUCCUAACCCAUUGAGAUGUUUGUUUAAAAUAAAUGAGAUUAUAUGUGUGAAAUACUUUCUAAGUUCUAAAAAGCAUAAGUUAUUACUGUCUAGUAUAGGCGUUGGCAAACGUUUUCUUGAAAGGAAUAGAAGGUAACUAUUUUCAGUUUUUCUGGCUUUAAUGGUCUCUGUUGCAGCUACUCAACUCUACCAUUGCAGUUCAAAUGCAGCCAUAGAUAUCACAUAAACCAAUGAGCAUAGCUGUAUUCCAAUAAAACUUUGUUUAUAAAAACAGACAAUGAUCUUUAUUUGGCCCACAGGCUGUAAUAUGCUGACUCCCUGUCUAGAAUGAGUGUGGAAAGACACAACCUCUCUCUUCCCUUUUCCUUCUGAAAUCUCUUCCAAAUGCAGUGCUGAGGAGGACAUCCAGUCAUUUAUUGAGAUUCUUGACUCACAGACUACAAAGUCUCUGGAUGGGUUGAGUUACUUGUCAGCCCAGUUCUUUAAAAAAUACAACUGCUUUCCUGCUUUCUACCCCAGGGUCCCAUCUCUUUGGGUGGAGCUUCUCCUGCUGCUGCCACACUCAUCUAUCCAUAAAACUGCUCCCCUGUUCUCUGGGGCAUAUCAUGAACCAUGAUGAAGGCACAGAGUUAGAAAAAAGAGGAAGGUGUGCUGCAGAGGUGCGUCAGGAGAGAGAAGAUUGGAGGGACCAAAGCAGAGUUCUGUCUGCAGGAAUGUGCCUCUGCCUCUUGGCCUACCAACUGUCUCAUCAACCAGUGCACUUAUAUGCAAAGGGCCAUUUGACACCUACGUUAAGUCCUGAGGUGCUCAGGCCUGGAAAUUUGGGCUAA